AUGGCCGGUGUUGGAAGGGGGAUGGGGCGGGGCUGUGGCGAUGGCGAGCUGCGAACAGUGGGGGUCGUCGCCGGCGUCCAUGGCCCAUCUCAAGAGACUAUUCCCACUUGUCAGGGCAGAGGUCACGGCAGCGGCAGUGCAACGAUCCCCGUCGACCAUUCAUCGGGAGGACAAGCAACGGGAUUUCUGGAUGACAUCAACCGAAGCGGAUUUGCCACCGGGGUGGCUCGUCAGGGUGGCAUAAGCAGAGGCCCGGAGGUUCCACUGCCGGUUAAAGAACCAACUAUAGGUAAUGCAAAUGAUAUAACAAACAUAUGGUGUCAUGGGAAAUCAUUGGAAGGACAAGCAUGGGAGUGUGGAUAUUGUGGUUUAGUUAGACAUGGUGGGGGUUCAACCCGAUUCAAGCAGCAUAUAGCUGGACUGGGCCCUCAUGUCUUCUCUUGCAUGAAUGCACCUCAUCAGGUAGUUGCCAUUUUUCGGAAAGCCAUUCCAGAGGGAGAGGCCCGGAGAAGGACUUCCAAAGAAGGAAAGAAAAGAGUGGUAGCUGAGGUCAAUCAUAUGAACAAUCAAGGUGCAGCAAUACAUAUCGAUUGUGAAGAUGAAGAUGAUGAGGUACUCCAGCAGACCCUACGAAAUUUGUUACGUGAAGAUCAUGGGAGAACCAGUGCUGUUAAAGGAAGUGUAGGGAGCAGCUCAAGUGGUGUCAAAGACUUUUUUGACGUUGACUUGGCAUAUAGCAAGACUAGGCCACAGCAGACAAUGGAGGCGUGUAUUAGCAAGGUGGAAUAUGAAUCCAGGAUUGGGAAGGCUUGGGCAAAAUGGUUUCACGCUAAUGACAUCCCUGGGCACAAAGCCAAUUGUCCGUACUUCGUAGGAGCAAUAAAAUUGACUCAAGACCUUGGCAAAGGGGUGCCUGCCCCUAAAGGGAUAGAUAUUGAUGGAGUUUAUUUAAAUAGCAAUUAUGAAGAGUUGCAGCAGUAUGUGGCCAAGUUCAAAGAUGAUUGGCCCACAUAUGGUGUUACUAUCAUGUCAGAUUCGUGGACUGGCCCUUCACGGAUGAGCAUCAUAAACUUUAUGGUGUUCUCCAAUGGGCGUAUGUAUUUCCACAAAUCUGUUAAUGCCACCGGACACAUGCAAAAUUCACAGUUUGUGUUUGAGCACAUCAAAGAAGUGAUCGAAGAGAUAGGGCAGCAACAUGUUGUCCAACUUGUGACCGACAAUGACUCUAACUUCAAGAAAGCAUGUCUUGACCUUGUUGCAGAUUUCCCACACAUCACAUGGCAGCCAUGUGCGGCUCACACCAUUAACCUCAUGUUGAAGGAGAUGGGAUGCUUUCCUGAGAUUAAUGAAGUGGUUAGUAGUUGUAAGAGAAUUUGUAGAUUCAUGUACAAUCAUUCAACUUUGCAUGCUGAAAUGCAGAAGCACAUAGGUGGAGAGUUGGUGCGCCCGAAUGCCACAAGGUUUGGAACUAACUUUAUGUUCCUAGAAAGCUUUUGGGAUAAGCAAGAGAAAUUCCAAGUGUGGAUGACAUCUCCAGAGUGGAAAAAUAGCUCAUGGAGUUCCGAGGUUGAUUAUGACUACACAUAUGAUUGUUUGAUAAGUAGGACCUGGUGGAAUAGCGUGAAGUGGGUGCUAGAUUUAAUUGGCCCAAUAUAUAGCAUACUUAGAUAUGCUGAUUCACAGAAGCUUGGGUCACUUUCUGGCUUUAUGACAAAGAUGAUGCAUUCUAGGCAUCAGUUGAGUUCUUUGUUUUGUCAUGAUUCUCUAGACCAAAACAAGUACCUAAAGGUGGUCGACAAAAGGGUUGACCAUUUAUACAAAAACACAUUGAUGGUUGCAGCACUUAAGAAGUUGGCUAGUCCUUCAGAGUUCAUUGCUAUGAUUCCUGAAGUUCACUCUUAUGUCAAUACAAGAGGGGCUUUCGAAGGCAUGUACCCUCGUAAUGCAGCUGAAAAGGUGUCCCCAACUGAGUGGUGGAUAACAUUUGGAGGAACCACACCGGUGCUUCAAAAGUAUGCUAUUCGUAUUGUCUCUCAAUGCACCUCUUCAAGUGGCUGUGAGCGGAAUUGGAGCACAUACGCUUUAGUGCAUACACUAGUGAGGAACCGUCUUGGUUUUGAAAAGUUGCACAAGAUGGUUUUUUGCCACUACAACCUUGGGCUGCGAAUCCGACUAAUUCUUGGUGAGCCAAAAGAGAAAGAGGUUGAUACUUGUGCGUUGUUGAUGAAUACCACUCUCUAUGAUUGUAAUAACGAAAUCAUGGAUUGGUUGGGCAACUCAACAAGCGAUUCCAUUCAAGAUGAGGAUAAAUAUGAUGGUGAUAGUGAUGGUGAUGGUGAUUGUCCGGUUGUCUUGGAGGUGGUGGGACAAAAGAUAUCUAGAGGAAGUGGGAUGCCUCCAAGUGAGGAGGAAGAGGAGGAAGAGGAGGAAGAGGAUGUAGAUGAUGGAGAGGAUGAUGAAGGUAACAAUGACGUGCUGCCUCGUGAAAGCAAUGAACCUUUGCGGAAGUCUACAAGGAAAAGGAGGAAGAGGAAGUUAGUGCAUGGGGGGCAGCUGUGCAUUGGAUCUGGCGGCAAUGGCCACAUAAAUCAGCCGCCAAGAGUGCCCCCUGCCCAUCACAUGGGCCGAAGCCACACACACCUCUGCGCCUCCAUACCUCCGCCAGCAGCAGCCAACGAUGCCAGCAUGUCUGCCUCAGAGAGAGCCAGCCUCACCAUGCCAAGGCGGAAGCCCCUGUGUCAUAGCUCGCAACCCCUCCAUAUACAAUGCCACCACGCCACGGAAAACAGCCACGCCGCCAUUGUCGCAGACUGGGUUUUGCCCAGCGACGCCUUCCAGCCGUCGCAAGGGGAGGUGACGAGACAGGGGAGGUUGCCCAGUGGCAAGAUCUGGACACUCCGGUGUGGCUGCUAG
rnacentral:rRNA from 1 species